rnacentral:rRNA from 1 species
UGGAGGAGUUUGAUCCUGGCUCAGACUUGAUCACGCUGGCGGCAGGCCUAACACACGCAAGUCGAGCGGUAACAGGAGAAAGCUUGCUUUCUUGCUGACGAGCGGCGGACGGGUGAGUAAUGUAUGGGGAUCUGCCCGAUAGAGGGGGAUAACUACUGGAAACGGUGGCUAAUACCGCAUGACGUCUACGGACCAAAGCAGGGGCUCUUCGGACCUUGCGCUAUCGGAUGAACCCAUAUGGGAUUAGCUAGUAGGUGGGGUAAAGGCUCACCUAGGCGACGAUCUCUAGCUGGUCUGAGAGGAUGAUCAGCCACACUGGGACUGAGACACGGCCCAGACUCCUACGGGAGGCAGCAGUGGGGAAUAUUGCACAAUGGGCGCAAGCCUGAUGCAGCCAUGCCGCGUGUAUGAAGAAGGCCUUAGGGUUGUAAAGUACUUUCAGCGGGGAGGAAGGUGUUAAGAUUAAUACUCUUAGCAAUUGACGUUACCCGCAGAAAAAGCACCGGCUAACUCCGUGCCAGCAGCCGCGGUA